CCUACGGGAGGCAGCAGUGAGGAAUAUUGGUCAAUGGGCGCGAGCCUGAACCAGCCAAGUCGCGUGAAGGAUGACUGCCCUACGGUUUGUAACCUUCUUUUAUAAAGGAAUAAAGUUAGGCACGUGUGCCUUUUUGCAUGUACCCUAUGAAUAAGCAUCGGCUAACUCCGUGCCAGCAGCCGCGGUAAUACGGAGGAUCCGAGCGUUAUCCGGAUUUAUUGGGUUUAAAGGGAGCGUAGGUGGGUUGGUAAGUCAGUUGUGAAAGUUUGCGGCUCAACCGUAAAAUUGCAGUUGAUACUGGCAGUCUUGAGUACGGUGGAGGUAGGCGGAAUUCGUGGUGUAGCGGUGAAAUGCAUAGAUAUCACGAAGAACUCCGAUUGCGAAGGCAGCUUACUAAACUACAACUGACAUUGAUGCUCGAAAGUGUGGGGAUCAAACAGGAUUAGAUACCCGUGUAGUC
rnacentral:rRNA from 1 species